rnacentral:lncRNA from 1 species
GAAAGGUCAAGAAUCCAGUAGUUGUUUAGUCUACAGGAAUGGGUGUCUCAAAAGUCUCAAUCUGGUACCAGAGUCCCAGCUGAGUUCUGAAGAGCUGCUUGUCUUCAGUGUAUCUGGAAAUCCUGAAGAGGAAGGUUCUAACUCUAAUGAAAGAUUGCCUCAGCAACAGGAUAGAUGAACCUGCCAGUGAGAGUGUGAUCAAGCAGGCAAAAAGCAAAAAUUUCCUUCUUCCACUUGGGCUACAACCAGGAAGCAUAGCCCAUGUUUAGAAUGCGUCCUCCCUCUUCAUAAGAUCAAGACUUAAGUACACUGUAGAUGUCUUCUGACACGCCAGAAGAGGACACAUAAGCUUCUACUGUGGACAGCAGUUUUGACCAUGGAAUAUAUCUUACACGGGACACGUCCAAUCAAUCAAAGAGGAUCGCAGAGUAAAACAAGCAGGAAGUUGAAUGUCAAGAUUCAUGAUACAACUUAAAACUAACCCCCAUGAACAAUCCAUGGUUGGAACUCACGCUGCCCAGCUAUGGUAUAAUAAACUGGAAUGCACUCUCUACGCCUUGGAAAAGCUAAAAGAUACUGUGCAUUUGGACACACCAGCAAGGAGAAAAUGCUGUGAGCAGACUGAGCAAAGACUGCUCCUGGAUGGACGCCCCGCUUCUGUGUUGGGAAGGAAGUAUGAGUCCCUGAGAAAGGGCUUUAUAAGUUUUUGAACUAACCAGAAGAGGACAGGUCUCUUGGCUAAAAAC